AGUGAACGCUGGCGGUAGGCCUAACACAUGCAAGUCGAACGGCAGCACAGUAAGAGCUUGCUCUUACGGGUGGCGAGUGGCGGACGGGUGAGGAAUACAUCGGAAUCUACUUUUUCGUGGGGGAUAACGUAGGGAAACUUACGCUAAUACCGCAUACGACCUACGGGUGAAAGCAGGGGAUCUUCGGACCUUGCGCGAUUGAAUGAGCCGGUGUCGGAUUAGCUAGUUGGCGGGGUAAAGGCCCACCAAGGCGACGAUCCGUAGCUGGUCUGAGAGGAUGAUCAGCCACACUGGAACUGAGACACGGUCCAGACUCCUACGGGAGGCAGCAGUGGGGAAUAUUGGACAAUGGGCGCAAGCCUGAUCCAGCCAUACCGCGUGGGUGAAGAAGGCCUUCGGGUUGUAAAGCCCUUUUGUUGGGAAAGAAAAGCAGCAGGUUAAUACCCCGCUGUUUUGACGGUACCCAAAGAAUAAGCACCGGCUAACUUCGUG
rnacentral:rRNA from 1 species